UACAGAGGUCUCAAGCGUUGUUCGGAUUCAUUGGGCGUAAAGGGUGUGUAGGUGGCGCGUUAAGUCGGGGGUGAAAUUUCGGAGCUUAACUCCGAAACUGCAUUCGAUACUGGCGUGCUUGAGGACUGGAGAGGAGACUGGAAUUCCCGGUGUAGCAGUGAAAUGCGUAGAGAUCGGGAGGAACACCAGUGGCGAAGGCGGCUACCUGGACCAGCACUGACACUGAAGCACGAAAGCGUGGGGAGCAAACAGG
rnacentral:rRNA from 1 species